GUCUACGGCCAUGCCACCCUGAACAAGCCCGAUCCCAUCUGAUCUUGGAAGCUAAGCAGGGUUGGGCCUGGUUAGUACUUGGAUGGGAGACCACCUAGGAAGACCAGGUGCUGUAGGCA
rnacentral:rRNA from 1 species